rnacentral:rRNA from 1 species
GACGUAGGUGGCGAACGUUAUCCGGAAUUAUUGGGCGUAAAGGGUGCGUAGGCGGCAUGAUAAGUUAUUGGCGGCAAAUCGAGGCUCAACCUCGUGGAAACUAAUAAUACUGUCUUGCUUGAGUGCAGAAGAGGUCAACGGAACUCCAUGUGGAGCGGUAAAAUGUGUAGAUAUAUGGAAGAACAUCAAUAACGGCGAAGGCAGUUAACUAUUCUGUUACUGACGUUGAGGCACGAAAGCGUGGGGAGCAAAAAGG